UAGGGAAUCUUCCACAAUGGGCGCAAGCCUGAUGGAGCAACACCGCGUGAGUGAAGAAGGGUUUCGGCUCGUAAAGCUCUGUUGUUAAAGAAGAACACGUAUGAGAUUAACUGUUCAUACGUUGACGGUAUUUAACCAGAAAGUCACGGCUAACUACGUGCCAGCAGCCGCGGUAAUACGUAGGUGGCAAGCGUUAUCCGGAUUUAUUGGGCGUAAAGAGAGUGCAGGCGGUUUUCUAAGUCUGAUGUGAAAGCCUUCGGCUUAACCGGAGAAGUGCAUCGGAAACUGGAUAACUUGAGUGCAGAAGAGGGUAGUGGAACUCCAUGUGUAGCGGUGGAAUGCGUAGAUAUAUGGAAGAACACCAGUGGCGAAGGCGGCUACCUGGUCUGCAACUGACGCUGAGACUCGAAAGCAUGGGUAGCGAACAGGAUUAGAUACCCUGGUAGUCCAUGCCGUAAACGAUGAGUGCUAGGUGUUGGAGGGUUUCCGCCCUUCAGUGCCGGAGCUAACGCAUUAAGCACUCCGCCUGGGGAGUACGGCCGCAAGGUUG
rnacentral:rRNA from 1 species